rnacentral:rRNA from 1 species
AAAGUUAAGUAGUUUAAGUUGUGUGCAAGUGGUAGGAGAGCGUUCUAUUUGCGUCGAAGGUAUACCGGUAAGGAGUGCUGGAGCGAAUAGAAGUGAGCAUGCAGGCAUGAGUAGCGAUAAUUAAUGUGAGAAUCAUUAACGCCGUAAACCCAAGGUUUCCUACGCGAUGCUCGUCAUCGUAGGGUUAGUCGGGUCCUAAGUCGAGUCCGAAAGGGGUAGACGAUGGCAAAUUGGUUAAUAUUCCAAUACCAACAUUAGUGUGCGAUGGAAGGACGCUUAGGGCUAAGGGGGCUAGCGGAUGGAAGUGCUAGUCUAAGGUCGUAGGAGGUUAUACAGGCAAAUCCGUAUAACAAUACUCCGAGAACUGAAAGGCUUUUUGAAGUCUUCGGAUG